rnacentral:rRNA from 2 species
UGAGUGAAGAAGGGUUUCGGCUCGUAAAACUCUGUUGUUAAAGAAGAACAUAUCUGAGAGUAACUGUUCAGGUAUUGACGGUAUUUAACCAGAAAGCCACGGCUAACUACGUGCCAGCAGCCGCGGUAAUACGUAGGUGGCAAGCGUUGUCCGGAUUUAUUGGGCGUAAAGCGAGCGCAGGCGGUUUUUUAAGUCUGAUGUGAAAGCCUUCGGCUCAACCGAAGAAGUGCAUCGGAAACUGGGAAACUUGAGUGCAGAAGAGGACAGUGGAACUCCAUGUGUAGCGGUGAAAUGCGUAGAUAUAUGGAAGAACACCAGUGGCGAAGGCGGCUGUCUGGUCUGUAACUGACGCUGAGGCUCGAAAGUAUGGGUAGCAAACAGGAUUAGAUACCCUGGUAGUCCAUACCGUAAACGAUGAAUGCUAAGUGUUGGAGGGUUUCCGCCCUUCAGUGCUGCAGCUAACGCAUUAAGCAUUCCGCCUGGGGAGUACGGCCGCAAGGCUGAAACUCAAAGGAAUUGACGGGGGCCCGCACAAGCGGUGGAGCAUGUGGUUUAAUUCGAAGCUACGCGAAGAACCUUACCAGGUCUUGACAUACUAUGCAAAUCUAAGAGAUUAGACGUUCCCUUCGGGGACAUGGAUACAGGUGGUGCAUGGUUGUCGUCAGCUCGUGUCGUGAGAUGUUGGGUUAAGUCCCGCAACGAGCGCAACCCUUAUUAUCAGUUGCCAGCAUUAAGUUGGGCACUCUGGUGAGACUGCCGGUGACAAACCGGAGGAAGGUGGGGAUGACGUCAAAUCAUCAUGCCCCUUAUGACCUGGGCUACACACGUGCUACAAUGGAUGGUACAACGAGUUGCGAACUCGCGAGAGUAAGCUAAUCUCUUAAAGCCAUUCUCAGUUCGGAUUGUAGGCUGCAACUCGCCUACAUGAAGUCGGAAUCGCUAGUAAUCGCGGAUCAGCAUGCCGCGGUGAAUACGUUCCCGGGCCUUGUACACACCGCCCGUCACACCAUGAGAGUUUGUAACACCCAAAGUCGGUGGGGU